rnacentral:rRNA from 1 species
ACACUGGCGGCGUGCCUACACAUUGCAGUUCGAACGAAGCCGUGGCGGAUGGAUUUUUUCCGGAAGUAGGAAAGCCCUGCCAUGAACUGAGUGGCGGAACGGGUGAAGUAACGCGUGGGCAACCUGCCCUGCACAGGGGGACAACAGCCGGAAACGGCUUGCUAAUACCGCAUAAGCGCACAGCUUCGCAUGGAGCGGUGUGAAAAGCUGCGGCGGUGCAGGAUGGGCCCGCGUCUGAUUAGCUGGUUGGCGGGGCAACGGCCCACCAAGGCGACGAUCAGUAGCCGGCCUGAGAGGGUGGACGGCCACAUUGGGACUGAGACACGGCCCAGACUCCUACGGGAGGCAGCAGUGGGGAAUAUUGCACAAUGGGGGAAACCCUGAUGCAGCGACGCCGCGUGAGCGAAGAAGUAUUUCGGUAUGUAAAGCUCUAUCAGCAGGGAAGAAAUUGACGGUACCUGAGUAAGAAGCUCCGGCUAAAUACGUGCCAGCAGCCGCGGUAAUACGUAUGGAGCAAGCGUUAUCCGGAUUUACUGGGUGUAAAGGGAGCGUANGCGGCCUGCCAAGUCUGAUGUGAAAUACCGGGGCUCAACCCCGGGG